UACGAAGGGUGCAAACGUUGCUCGGAAUUACUGGGCGUAAAGCGCACGUAGGCGGCUUUGUAAGUCAGAGGUGAAAGCCUGGAGCUCAACUCCAGAACUGCCUUUGAGACUGCAUCGCUUGAAUCCAGGAGAGGUGAGUGGAAUUCCGAGUGUAGAGGUGAAAUUCGUAGAUAUUCGGAAGAACACCAGUGGCGAAGGCGGCUCACUGGACUGGUAUUGACGCUGAGGUGCGAAAGCGUGGGGAGCAAACAGG
rnacentral:rRNA from 1 species